CUUUCUCUGUUAAUAUUUGUUCCAGCAACACGCCUAACAGCCAUUCUACCACAACCACAAAAAAGAACAACUUGUGAUGAAACUCUUGUUCGAGAUGAUGAUGCAUUGCUCCUCUACGACAUUGUUGAUAGUAAGAGAGAACGAAAUGGUGCGAUUUUUGAGGUCUAUUGAGAUGAUUAGAAGUGCAAAUAUGGAGGAGGAGGAGAAGAG
rnacentral:lncRNA from 1 species